AGCGAACGCUGGCGGCAGGCUUAACACAUGCAAGUCGAGCGGGCAGGUCGGGGUUAGCGGCAGACGGGGGAGGAACACGGGGGAACGUACCCGUCGGUUCGGAAUAACGCAGGGUAACUAGCGCUAAGAACGGAUACGCCCAUACGGGGAAAGGGUUACUGCCGAAGGAUCGGCGCGCGUCUGCUUAGCCAGUUGGGGGGGUAAUGGCCUACCAUGGCGACGCUCAGUAGCUGGUGUGAGAGGAUGCUCCGCCACACUGGGACUGCGACACGGCCCACACGCCUACGGGAGGCAGCAGUGGGGAAUAUUGUACGAUGGGCGCAAGCCUGAUCCAGCCAUGCCGCGUGAGUGAUGCAGGCCUUAGGGUUGUACAGCUCUUUUGUCCGGGACGAUAAUGACGGUACCGGAAGAAUAAGCCCCGGCUAACUUCGUG
rnacentral:rRNA from 1 species